rfam:Aquimarina atlantica strain 22II-S11-z7 contig10, whole genome shotgun sequence.
GGUGCUGUACCCAAGUGGAUUAAGGGGAAGGUCUGCAAAACCUUUAUUUCAGUGGUUCGAAUCCACUCUGCACCU